rnacentral:misc_RNA from 1 species
GAGUAGCCGCCAUUUUAUGAAAAAAAUCAGUUUUGCAGCUUUUGAUAUAGCGACAUUCGCACUAAUCAAGAAUCCAUCAAUAUUCUAUUUUUCAGAUGAUUACAAGGGUAGAAAUCAUGACGACGAGAACAUGGCUUUUAUUUCCCUUAACUUCAAGGACGUAUAACUCAAUGAACAAAUUUUUUAAACUAAUUUUUUGCUAAAAAGCAGUCGAAAUCCGGGCUUCUGGUCAUGAAACCGCCCCUAAUAUGAUAACCCUUACCAAUGGUUGGAAUGGAACCUUUUAGUUAUUGUGUGAAUAUUGUUAUUAUAUGAAAUUUGGACAUUUUUCGUGGUGAAUUCGAACAUCAGAAUUUCAUUCAGCUUCCAAGAUAGUUGACUAGAUGUACACAAUCACAAACUUCUACAAUUACGAUCACGAAUCGAUUAAAAUUUGAUAUGUGAGGAGUAACGUAAAUAAGCAGCCUGCCCUACCUAUUACUUACCGACUAUGAAUAAAAGUUAUAGUGUAUAGCGGGGCAUAAGGGAAGCAGAAGUGGACAUGUCGCAUACCCUAUGUUUAAUUAUAUGUUUUGAUUUAUAUUACGAUGACAAACAUGUUGGGGCCAAAAUUGAUCUGCUGAGCCUAAGGAAAAAGCCUUCCUGGUUACUCAAAUAUAUUAGAAUUUCCUAACAUUUUCUUGGCUUACAAGUUUUAUUGACAAUUAAAUCGUUUUCAAAUAAUAUUAAUUAUGUUUGUUACUGAUAUACAUUUUGACAAAAAAGUACCCGGAAAUUGUAAAUAAAACGCAAAAUGUUUA